GAUCAUGGCUCAGGAUUAACGCUGGCGGCGUGCCUAAUACAUGCAAGUCGAAUGGUAGUAGCAAUACAAACCAUGGCGAACGGGUGAGUAACACGUAGGUAACCUGUCUUUAAGACGAGGAUAACCAUUGGAAACGAUGGAUAAUACUGGAUAGGACAUUAUAAAGGGCAUCCUUAAAUGUUUAAAGAUUAUUAUGUCACUUAGAGAGGGGCCUGCGGCGCAUUAGCUAGUUGGUGAGAUAACAGCCCACCAAGGCGAUGAUGCGUAGCCGGAUUGAGAGGUUGAACGGCCACAAUGGAACUGAGAACGGUCCAUACUCCUACGGGAGGCAGCAGUAGGGAAUUUUCGGCAAUGGGCGCAAGCCUGACCGAGCAACGCCGCGUGAACGAAGAAGUUAUUCGUAAUGUAAAGUUCUUUUAUCUGGGAAGAAAAACAAAUUGACGGUACCAGAUGAAUAAGCUCCGGCUAACUACGUGCCAGCCGCGGC
rnacentral:rRNA from 1 species